ensembl:lncRNA
CGCGUGCGCGCGCAUGACGUCAUGCGAUGUCGCCAGAUGCGAAAACAGACAGGCAUUAGACGGCGUACUGUAUUCUACAGGAUGAGAUGUGUCACCAGAAUGAGUUUUAUGGGUCUCUGACUGCCAUUGUGGAGAAUGGUUUGCUAUAAUGGGACUAAAUUUUUUUUUGCUAACCUGGACAAAUAGCCAGUGAAAACAGGAAAAAGUACUAGGAUAACUGCUAGACACCUUAAGGCCCAUUCACACUGAUCCAACUCCAACUAACUCCAAAAAGCUCCAACGCAUUCUUCCCACAUACUGACGUAGAUAUGUGGGGGCGUGUUGGAACGAGACGUUUUAGGGGGGUGUGGACAAGUCUUAACUUUUAUAAAGAAUAUCUAUAGAUUUGAGACUUUAGUCUUUGCAACUUUACAGAUCUUCUUUAUUCACCAAGGGCUUGUAACACUUCAAAGAGAAAGGAAAAAUUGAAAUCGCAGCAUAUGACCCCUUUAAUGGAGAUGGUCGGAUGUUUGCAGAAUGUUUCUUAAAUGAUGAGUCGCUUCAGUUUUCCACAUCUGAAAAAAGUGUGGCUGCCCUAAGAAUGACUAUAGCUGCUUGUCUCCUGCAGAACACUGCUGACCUUAAGGACCUGUGCCAUCUGUGUGGGGAAAGAAACGGUGCUCAAAAAGUGACUAACUGGAUUGGCUGUGACGUGUGCCCACGUUGGUUUCACUGCAACUGUGUCCAAUGCUCAAGGAAGCACAGACGUUCUGUUUCUCAUCUCAUUUCAUCAUUUCUUUUAAAGUUUUGUUAUUUUAAAAGAUUCUGUUGGCUUAUUGUAAUUUCUAUGUAAUUGUAACACUAUGUAAACUGUAAAUAAAAACACUUAAUGAUUUUACCA